rnacentral:rRNA from 1 species
CAGUCGCCACGGGAAUACGAAGGGGGCUAGCGUUGCUCAGAAUUACUGGGCGUAAAGGGCGCGUAGGCGGACAGUUCAGUCGGGGGUGAAAGCCCGGGGCUCAACCUCGGAAUUGCCUUCGAUACUGGCUGUCUUGAGUGUGAGAGAGGUGUGUGGAACUCCGAGUGUAGAGGUGAAAUUCGUAGAUAUUCGGAAGAACACCAGUGGCGAAGGCGACACACUGGCUCACUACUGACGCUGAGGCGCGAAAGCGCGGGGAGCAAAUGGGAUUAGAUACCCCUGUAGUCCCUGUCUCUUAUAC